CCUAGGGAUCUGCCCAGUCGAGGGGGAUAACAGUUGGAAACGACUGCUAAUACCGCAUACGCCCUACGGGGGAAAGGAGGGGACCUUCGGGCCUUCCGCGAUUGGAUGAACCUAGGUGGGAUUAGCUAGUUGGUGAGGUAAUGGCUCACCAAGGCGACGAUCCCUAGCUGUUCUGAGAGGAUGAUCAGCCACACUGGGACUGAGACACGGCCCAGACUCCUACGGGAGGCAGCAGUGGGGAAUAUUGCACAAUGGGGGAAACCCUGAUGCAGCCAUGCCGCGUGUGUGAAGAAGGCCUUCGGGUUGUAAAGCACUUUCAGUAGGGAGGAAAGGGUGAGUCUUAAUACGGCUUAUCUGUGACGUUACCUACAGAAGAAGGACCGGCUAACUCCGUGCCAGCAGCCGCGGUAAUACGGAGGGUCCAAGCGUUAAUCGGAAUUACUGGGCGUAAAGCGUGCGCAGGCGGUUUGUUAAGCGAGAUGUGAAAGCCCCGGGCUCAACCUGGGGAAUUGCAUUUCGAACUGGCAAACUAGAGUCUUGUAGA
rnacentral:rRNA from 1 species